CCUACGGGGCGCAGCAGGCGCGAAAACUUUACAAUGCCGGCAACAGCGAUAAGGGGACCUCGAGUGCCAGGAUACAAUCUUGGCUGUCGUCGUGUCUAAAUAACACGGCAUAGCGAGGGCCGGGCAAGACCGGUGCCAGCCGCCGCGGUAACACCGGCGGCUCGAGUGGUAACCGCUAUUAUUGGGUCUAAAGGGUCUGUAGCCGGCCGGAUAAGUCUUUUGGGAAAUCUGGCAGCUUAACUGUCAGGCUUUCAGAAGAUACUGUUCGGCUCGAGGCCGGGAGAGGUGAGAGGUACUUCAGGGGUAGGGGUGAAAUCCUGUAAUCCA
rnacentral:rRNA from 1 species